rnacentral:rRNA from 1 species
AUCAAAAUGUAGAACUAGCUGAAUGCACCUGAUUUCAUCUGAUCUUGGAAGCUAAGCAGGGUUGGACCUGGUUAGUACUUGGAUGGGAGACCACCUACGAAUACUGAGUGAUGUAGGCU